UAGUUUUCCGUAUAUCCAACAUAUAUAUAUUACUUCCGUAACUUGGGUAUAACUUAACUAUUUUUAUCUAAUUUAUGGUUAUAUAGUUCUAUAUCUGAAGAAUCUCGGCUACGGGUCUUACUGGAGGGCUGCAGUAACUCAAGCUAGCAUUGAGCAAGUUGAAGAUGCCUUUAGUUGGGAAAGAUCUCAUAGCUUCAUCUGAUUUAAUCGAAGAAGAAAGGUUUCACCUUGGAGGCUUUUUUCUGUUUUGAGAGCUACCUGAAUCCCACAAAAUUUUGAUGUCUACAAGUAUUCCCUACUUCAAGACUUGGCGGAGUGUAAACUUCAUGAAAGUCAAAGACAAGACUUGAAGUGACAGUAUUGAAGACUUUAUAUUGUUUGAGCCAUGUCUGUUGCAUCGUAUGAGCCAAAAAUCUUGCAUGUUAUUCAAGGAAAAUACUUUACACCGUUUGAGCUAAAGUAUUGCCCUUUCUGAGUCGAAGAAUUUACACCGUCAAUGACAAAGACCGUACACUAGUUCGCGACAAAGAAUUUUAUACCAUCUGAGCUAAAUAAUUUAUGUUGCAUGAGGAGAAUACUUUACACCAUCUAAGACAAAGUGUUGCCUUAUUUGAGUCAACGACUCUACAACAUCGAAGUCAAAGACUUUAUAUAGUUCGCAAAAAGAUUUUUAUAUUGUUUGAGAUAAAGACUUUGUAUUCUGCUUACG